AACGAACGCUGGCGGCAUGCCUAACACAUGCCAGUCGAACGAGACCUUCGGGUCUAGUGGCGCACGGGUGCGUACCGCGUGGGAACCUGCCCUUAGGUUCGGAAUACCUCCCCGAAAGGGGUGCUCAUACCGGAUAAUCUCUUCGGACCUAAGAUUUAUCGCCUUUGGAUGGGCCCGCGUUGGAUUCGCUAGUUGGUAGGGUAAAAGCCUGCCAAGGAGAGGAUCCAUAGCUGGUCUGAGAGGAGGAUCAGCCACACUGGGACUGAGACACGGCCCAGACUCCUAGGGGAGGCAGGAGUGGGGAAUAUUGGACGAGGGGCGAAAGCCUGAUACAGCAAUGCCGGGUGAGUGAUGAAGGCCUUAGGGUUGUAAAGCUCUUUUACCCGGGAUGAUAAUGACAGUACCGGGAGAAUAAGCACCGGCUAACUACGUG
rnacentral:rRNA from 1 species